rnacentral:misc_RNA from 1 species
AGCUUGAAUGUAAAGGGUGUGAUCCCUUGCUUGUUUCUUACUUCUCAUAUUUAUAUAUGGCGUAAAAACCAUCAAUUCAGAGUCUUAGAGGCCUCAGAAGUCUUCCCAAGUCAUGCGAAUAAAGUUAGAGUCUGUACUAGCGCAUAGUACGUGACUCAUGUACAAUUACAUGGAUCAAGGCCAUGUAAGUCUUUAGAAGUAUGAAACGGCUCUCAAUUAGAGGUAUAAGAAGUUACAUAGGCCAAGGACCAUUACACGAAAUCCUGUACAUAGCUCAUGUAUCGGUCCUUCCCUGGCAGCAGGUUGCAUGAGUCAAGACCUCCAUUGCACAAGCUAUGCAAUUCUCCCAGUGGUCGACUUGUACUUUUUCACUUUCGAACUUGUUCAAUCAUGUUGCAUCAAAUUACCUUAAAAUACUAAUAUAAUACAAGUGUAUCACAUAGCCACUGCAUGCUGAUCAUUAUUCCAUUGCUAUUUAGAAUCGAACGAUCGAGGAUGAUAUUGUGUGAUAGUGGGAUGUCAAAAAUCGUGAAUUUUGUGUAAAUCUCUCUCUUGAAUCCUUUGUUGCAUAAGAUCAUUGCUAGAUUUACAGUUUCGAGUAUGGGAAUUAUCUUAUCUCUAAGGCUGACCA